rnacentral:lncRNA from 1 species
UUUGUUUAUUUAUUUGUUUAUUUAUUUAUUUAUUACUUUUUUUUUUUUAAUUAAAGCACAAAUUUAAAAGCGACAAAUCAUAAUCAUACAAUAUAUCGCAUUUACCACAUUUUUUUAGCUUGAUAUAAAAUUAAGUAGCAUGAUUUCUCUAUUUUUUUUACAUAUCUUGUUUUAAAACAAAAUAGAACAAAAAAAAGUAAAAGACAAAACAUAAAUGACUAUUUUUUUUCUCUACGGAGGGAAUAUAUUUUGUGUAUACACAAUUUUAUUACAAAACUUAAACAUGUUAAACGUUUAUAAAUUAGUAUAUAUGUUUUAGUUAGCAUAUUGUUUUUAAAAGACGAAAUAAAAAAAACAAACAAACAAACAAACAAACAAACAAACAAACAUACAUACAUACAUACAUACAUACAGACAAACAUACAUACAUACAUACAUACAUACAUACAGACAUAAAUAAAACAAAAACAUAAAUAUAGUAAUGUCUAACAAUGUUAAAAACAGGCAAUAUUCAACACAUUUAUAUAUAUAUAUAUAUAUGUGCAUUAUAAGGGUAUAUAUAAAUAUAUUAUAAUGGGACAAUUAUGAAAAAAAAAAAAAAAAAAAAAUGUAAUAUAAAAUACAGUACAACAAAAUAAAAAUAUAUUGCUGUGCAUAAAUAUUGAAACAAUAUAAUACAACUGGGUAUUGUAAAAUAUAGGGCUAACAUAAAAAAAAUAUAUUAAAAACUAUUCAUGUUUUUUUUUUUUUUUCAAUAUUUUUGUAUGUUACUUUUCAUUCAUACGCUUUAAAAUCAUUAAGUAUAUAUUUUUUAUUAUUUUUACUUUUUUUAAAGUACAAAUAAAAAGAAGAAGUAAAAGAUAAAAAGACAAUAGUAAAGAUAACAUAAUAAUAAAGUUUAAUAACAUAAUUUUCUUUUGAUAAAACAAGUAUAAGACUUUCUAACAUACCCCAAACCCCAACUGCACAUAAAAAAGAAGAGAAAUCUGCUAUAAGUCGUAACAAAAAAGGGACAUUAUUAUUAUUAUUCAUAAAAAAAAAACAAUCAGUUCUACAUGCGUCAUUUCCACAUGCAUCAUUUCUACAUGUAUUUUUUUUAUUUUUCAGAGUUAAAAAAAAAAUUACAUAUGUACGUAAUAGUACAUAUAUAUACAUAUAUAUAUAUAUAAUAUUUUAUGUCAUAAUAAGGUUACAUAUAUUUUAUUAAUUUAUACGCUAUGAUUUAUACGACUUAAAAAAAAAAAAAUUAAUUAAUCAAAAUAUUAAAAAGGUACCUAAUAUUUAACUGUCUAUAUGUAUAUAUAUGUAUAUAUAUAUAAGAUUACUAUUAAAAAUCAAAAUUUAAAAAAAUAAAAAAUAAAAAAUGAAAAUAAAUAGGAAGAAU